rnacentral:rRNA from 1 species
AUUGAACGCUGGCGGAAUGCUUUACACAUGCAAGUCGAGCGGCAGCGCGGGGGCAACCCUGGCGGCGAGCGGCGGACGGGUGAGUAAUACAUCGGAACGUGUCCUUAAGUGGAGGAUAGCUCGGCGAAAGCCGGAUUAAUACCGCAUAAGCUCUGAGGAGGAAAGCGGGGGCUCCGUAAGGACCUCGCGCUGUUGGAGCGGCCGAUGUCGGAUUAGCUAGUUGGUGGGGUAAAGGCCCACCAAGGCGACGAUCCGUAGCUGGUCUGAGAGGAUGAUCAGGCACACUGGAACUGAGACACGGUCCAGACUCCUACGGGAGGCAGCAGUGGGGAAUUUUGGACAAUGGGGGCAACCCUGAUCCAGCCAUUCCGCGUGAGUGAAGAAGGCCU